CCUACGGGUGGCAGCAGUGAGGAAUAUUGGUCAAUGGCCGUAAGGCUGAACCAGCCAAGUAGCGUGAGGGAAGACUGCCCUAUGGGUUGUAAACCUCUUUUAUGCGGGGAUAAAGGUGUCCACGUGUGGAUGUUUGCAGGUACCGCAUGAAUAAGGAACGGCUAAUUCCGUGCCAGCAGCCGCGGUAAUACGGAAGGUCCGGGCGUUAUCCGGAUUUAUUGGGUUUAAAGGGAGCGUAGGCCGGUCUUUAAGCGUGCCGUGAAAUUUUGGGGCUCAACCAUGAGAGUGCGGCGCGAACUGGAGACGUUGAGUGCGCGGAAGGCAGGCGGAAGUCGUGGUGUAGCGGUGAAAUGCUUAGAUAUCACGAAGAACCCCGAUUGCGAAGGCAGCCUGCCGCAGCGUUACUGACGCUGAAGCUCGAAAGCGCGGGUAGCGAACAGGAUUAGAUACCCGAGUAGUC
rnacentral:rRNA from 1 species